rnacentral:rRNA from 1 species
UACGGAGGGUGCGAGCGUUGUCCGGAAUCACUGGGCGUAAAGGGCGCGUAGGUGGCGACCCAAGUCAACGGUGAAAGCUCGGCGCUUAACGCCGAGUCGGCCGUCGAUACUGGGUGGCUCGAGCACUGUAGAGGCAGAUGGAAUUCCGGGUGUAGCGGUGGAAUGCGUAGAGAUCCGGAAGAACACCCGUGGCGAAGGCGGCUACUCGUGGGACGGUACUGACGCUGAGACGCGAAAGCGUGGGGAGCGAACAGG